CUUCUCUCUGGGCUGAACUUCAGAUCAAGAGGAAUUAGGGGGAGAGCGGUAAAAAUCAAUGAGAUAGAGAUGGCAAAAUCAGUUCUUGUUAAGAUGGACAGCUGGAGCCAAGAUUUCCUGCAAGACAUAGAGAAGAUGGGGAAAAAGUAAUCUCUUUUCCUCUAGAAACUUUUGGCAGAGAAUCAGCUGGAUAAGGAGAGACAAGUCUUCUUCUCUGACCUGAGGAAGGAAUUUGAGAAACGGACUGACUUCUCCAAACUGAGCAUGAAAGCAAGUACGGGAGAAGGGCAGGAAGAAAGGACAGACAAGAAAAGAGGAGGGGACUCAAGGAGUCUGGUCCCUUAUUGCAUCUCCACCCUUUGCUUUGUCUCUUUGUCCUUAAAUUGUUUUCUCUUCCCCCAUCGCCAUGGCUAGUUAAAAUGCGUUAGGGUCAAAUUGCUUCCCUUCCAGCCCUUACAUGAGUAUGGGGGGGCGAGGGGGGGUCAGAAGGAGCCUAUUUAAGAGGCUGGCACAACUGUAGUCCCUGCAAAUGGGGGAGUGUUCCCUCCAUAUUCCUCAGGGAUGCACAGAAAGAAGGGCUGGAGCAGUGUCAUGCCCCAUCCCGCAUCCCUCCUCUGCACCCCCCAUUUCCUCCUCUGCACCCUCUGGCCAUGCAGGCUGGGGUUUGCUGCAGCCCCUGAAAGGGUGUAGAAGUAGGUGCACUUCCCCUGACCACCAUUACUCCUGGGGAAAUUCUGCGCAUCUGCGAACGCACAGAAUGCUACUGUCCCGAAUAAUUGUGUAUUUUCCCGCCUAAUAGACAUUUUGCCCACGAAGUGCUGCAUUUCCACCCUUUGCCCACCAGAGGCCGCUAUGGCACCAGAACAGCCGGCUGCAUGAAAGCAGCCAGCUGGUCUGGUGCACAACGGCCUCUGGUGGGCAAAAGGAGGAACUGCAGUACUUCGGGGCAGAAUGUAUUUUCUGUGGGGAAAAAAAAUGCUAUGUCCAGUUCUGCAGAAUUCCCCCAGGAGUUCACCACAGCACCCUGCCCGCAGAGCCACUCUAGGACAGAGUGGGCCACACAGGGCUGCUGAGGGGUCACACAUUUGGGUUCAGAAUGGUUGGAGUGGUGCAGACUGAGGCAUGGGCUCAGGAGCUAGUGGGGUGACAACGCUGACGCUGGAGAUGGCGAGGGGAGGGUGUCUGCAGAGACCCAUGGCUAUGGGGAGUGUGGGGACAGGGCAGAUGUGCUUGACUGAAUGGGAGAGGCUUGGGGUCAACCAGGGUCUGCAUGAGGGGGCUUCCCAACUCCCUAACAAUACCAUCCCCCCAAAAAACACUUUCUCCCACCCAACACCUCCAAGUUCAUUCCUAGGCUCCUUUCCCCUCCCUCAGCUCCUCCGUUACCCCUUACUUCCCCAGCCUUUGCACUACCUCUGACAGGUGCAGGAAAUAUAGUUAUGUAUUUUAAUUUAAAUGAAUUAUUCAAAGUUCUACAUAACAUGCCUAAUAA